rnacentral:rRNA from 1 species
GGAGCCUUGGCCUCCCGGGAUGUUAGCGGCGGACGUGGUGAGUAACACGUGGGUAACCUGCCUGUAAGACAUGGGAUAACUCCGGGAAACCGGAGCUAAUACCGGAUAGUUCCUUGAACCGCAUGGUUCAAGGAUGAAAGACGGUUUCGGCUGUCACUUACAGAUGGACCCGCGGCGCAUUAGCUAGUUGGUGAGGUAACGGCUCACCAAGGCGACGAUGCGUAGCCGACCUGAGAGGGUGAUCGGCCACACUGGGACUGAGACACGGCCCAGACUCCUACGGGAGGCAGCAGUAGGGAAUCUUCCGCAAUGGACGAAAGUCUGACGGAGCAACGCCGCGUGAGUGAUGAAGGUUUUCGGAUCGUAAAGCUCUGUUGUUAGGGAAGAACAAGUGCAAGAGUAACUGCUUGCACCAUGACGGUACCUAACCAGAAAGCCACGGCUAACUACGUGCCAGCAGCCGCGGUAAUACGUAGGUGGCAAGCGUUGUCCGGAAUUAUUGGGCGUAAAGGGCUCGCAGGCGGUUUCUUAAGUCUGAUGUGAAAGCCCCCGGCUCAACCGGGGAGGGUCAUUGGAAACUGGGAAACUUGAGUGCAGAAGAGGAGAGUGGAAUUCCACGUGUAGCGGUGAAAUGCGUAGAGAUGUGGGAGGAACACCAGUGGCGAAGGCGACUCUCUGGUCUGUAACUGACGCUGAGGAGCGAAAGCGUGGGGAGCGAACAGGAUUAGAUACCCUGGUAGUCCACGCCGUAAACGAUGAGUGCUAAGUGUUAGGGGGUUUCCGGCCCCUUAGU